rnacentral:rRNA from 1 species
CGUAGGGUGCGAGCGUUAAUCGGAAUUACUGGGCGUAAAGCGUGCGCAGGCGGUUUGUUAAGAUAGGCGUGAAAUCCCCGGGCUCAACCUGGGAACUGCGCUUAUGACUGGCAAGCUAGAGUACGGCAGGGGGGGUGGAAUUCCACGUGUAGCAGUGAAAUGCGUAGAGAUGUGGAGGAACACCAAUGGCGAAGGCAGCCCCCUGGGUCGAUACUGACGCUCAUGCACGAAAGCGUGGGUAGCAAACAGGAUUAGAUACCCUGGUAGUCCACGCCCUAAACGAUGUCAACUAGGUGUUGGAUGGGUAAAACCAUUUAGUACCGGAGCUAACGCGUGAAGUUGACCGCCUGGGGAGUACGGCCGCAAGGUUA